rnacentral:lncRNA from 1 species
CAACAAGAAAAAUAUCUUUGUUAGGGAGACCGACAACGAGCAACGAAUUGAUGACGCGAAUCCACAAGAAGAGGAAAAACGACAAUUAGAACAAUAUCUUUAUAACUAUGAUUAACAAUUCUGUAAAAUUAUACAAGAGUUAUGUAAGUUUCGUUGAGUAUACGCUUACCUAAUUUUAA